rnacentral:misc_RNA from 1 species
AAAAUGCGAUAAGUAAUGUGAAUUGCAGAAUUCAGUGAAUCAUCGAAUCUUUGAACGCACAUUGCGCCCGCCAGUAUUCUGGCGGGCAUGCCUGUCUGAGCGUCAUUUCAACCCUCGGGACCCCGUUCGCGGGACCCGGCGUUGGGGAUCAGCCCGAAGCCCCCCGGGGCGGGCGGCUGGCCCCGAAAUCUAGUGGCGGUCCCCCCAGCGACCUCCUCUGCGCAGUAGUAACUCACCUCGCAGCUGGACAGCGGGAGGGCCACGCCGUAAAACCCCCAACUUCUCAAAGGUUGACCUCGGAUCAGGUAGGGAUACCCGCUGAACUUAAGC